AGUGAACGCUGGCGGUAGGCCUAACACAUGCAAGUCGAACGGCAGCACAGUAAGAGCUUGCUCUUACGGGUGGCGAGUGGCGGACGGGUGAGGAAUACAUCGGAAUCUACUUUUUCGUGGGGGAUAACGUAGUGAAACUUACGCUAAUACCGCAUACGACCUACGGGUGAAAGCAGGGGAUCUUCGGACCUUGCGCGAUUGAAUGAGCCGAUGUCGGAUUAGCUAGUUGGCGGGGCAAAGGCCCACCAAGGCGACGAUCCGUAGCUGGUCUGAGAGGAUGAUCAGCCACACUGGAACUGAGACACGGUCCAGACUCCUACGGGAGGCAGCAGUGGGGAAUAUUGGACAAUGGGCGCAAGCCUGAUCCAGCCAUACCGCGUGGGUGAAGAAGGCCUUCGGGUUGUAAAGCCCUUUUGUUGGGAAAGAAAAGCAGCAGGUUAAUACCCCGCUGUUCUGACGGUACCCAAAGAAUAAGCACCGGCUAACUUCGUG
rnacentral:rRNA from 1 species